rnacentral:lncRNA from 1 species
UGGAGGUACUCUUGUUUGUGUUUCCGGUGCCAUAGUUAUGGCUUUGUUCCGUGGUCCAGCCUUGUUUGGAGAUAAAGAUUCAGACCUUACAGUAAACAGACUAAUCAUUGAUAGAAGUCAACCUGAGCUUCAUGGUUGGUUAGUCUCUAGCUUUCUUGGUCUUGGGCUUGAUCUAUGGCACAUUGGGGUUAUAUGUUUGAUUGGAAAUUGCAUGUGUAUGGCUGCUUUUAUCGCUGUCCAAGCACCUGUUUUGAAGAAGUAUCCUGCCUACCUUUCAGUUACAGCGUAUUCAUACUUCUUUGGUGCAUCAAUAAUGAUCACAACAGCGUUUGUGUUUGUUAGAGAGCCUAAAGAGUGGCACUUGACACAAUCCGAGAUUCUUGCCGUUAUAUUUGCGGUAAAAAGUUUGCAACAACAUGUUUGUUUUUUUGGGUAUGUUUUACAUAAAAAGACUAAAGCUUUCUUCAUUUCUGAGUAUUUUUUUGGUUAUUGAUUCUUAGGGAGUGUUUGCAUCAGCUCUGAACUAUGGACUCUUGACUUGGUCUAACAAAAUUCUUGGAGCAUCUUUGGUUUCUCUUUAUAACCCUCUUCAGCCUGCAACAUCUGCCUUUUUAUCUUCAAUUUUCCUCGGCAGUCCAAUCUAUCUUGGAAGGUUUCUUGCUUGCAUCUUUGAUCCAUCAAUAAACACAGGCACCCAGCCUCUUAAUAUUUAUUGUCUUUCUUUCUCAUGUGCAGUGUUGUGGGUGGAGUACUCAUCAUUUCAGGGCUAUAUAUGGUUACUUGGGCAUCUUAUAGAGAACAGCACACAACAGUUUCAGGAAAUGUGAUUGCUUCUUCCAGUGAUGUAAGCGUUUCGGAACCUUUGAUUUACAGAGAUGGGACUGGUGAAAAAAUUGCGUAAAAAGACAAUUCAGAUAUACUGUCAGAGAAGAAGUAUAUAACAGACAGUUUCUUCUACACUUAGCUUGCUUGAUUUUUCAUUCAACUGAAGCAAUAGAAAUUAUCAAUAGAAUUGAUAGAUAAGUUCUACUUUGAGAUAGCCAAACAGAAUCAAGAUCAUGGCUAUUCUUAUCAAGAAAUAACGACUCAAUAUUAGUGGCUGAUGUUGCAUAUUGCAAGAAUAUAAUUGUUAAAAAACAGAGGAAGAAAGUGGAUUAUUUGAAGGGAUACAAUUUGUAUCCAAUUGUUUUUGUCUAAACAUUUCCAUUAAUUUUAAAAAGUUAACUAGAUACAGAUCUGCGCACCGGAUAUUGAUUUUUAUAUUCUUAUAUAUUGAUAUUUGUUUUUUAUAAUUAGUGUUAUAUAUUUUAGAUAAAUCAUAAUAUAAUUAUUGUAUUCAAAAGAUCUGAUCCGAAUUGGGUAAUAUAUUUAUUUAUGGUACAAAUAUCUGAAUCCGUUUCAGAUACAUUUGUUAUUUAGGUUCCUAUACAUCAGAAUCGAACUCAUCCAAACUCAUAAAUACUCAACUCAAAACCCACACAUAAAUUUAUAAUACUCAAUCGGGACCUAGUUUAAAAAAAAACGAUAUCCGAAAAGAACAACCUGUACCUAAAUAGAUAGUCAAAUGUUCAGCGUGCUGAUAUGUGUACCGAUGGACAAUUCUCGUGGGCCAAAAUCACCUCGGACAGUCCAUGAGAAGGGACAUGCCUAACUGAUUUUAUAAACUAAAAAAAUAACUAUUUUUAUGUGUUUCGCUAAAUUAAGUAAAAUAAAAAUAAUUUUUUAUAUUUAGUAAAAUAAUUGUAUGGAGUGAAAAAUUAAGUGACAAUAAAUGUAAUACAUAGACAUGUCUUUGAAUUAUAUUUUUGUUUACGUAAUUUUUCCUUCAAUUGAAAGUAAAAAAAAAAAAUUGGUAAAACAAAUUAAACAGAACAUUUACCCAUAUACAAAAUCCAGUUAUUUUACAUUUUUGAUUUUAUAAUUGGCACAAAGUUAAUGUUGACUAACUAGUAAAUAAAAAUCUUCACUAUUGUUAUUAUUGUAACAUAAUUUAUGAUGUGAUGUAUUGUUUAAGUAAUAUAAUUAAUGAAAUUUUUAAAUCGAGUAAAUAUGAAAACAUAAUUAAUAUAAUUAUAUUAAUGAAAUUACCAAAAGGACAAUAUACCUUUUUUAUAGUGUUAUCCAUGUUUCAUUCUCAUUUAUAGUGCUAUCCAUAUUUCCAAAAAAAUACCAAAAUGUACUUUACUUUUUUUUUUUGAACUGAAAAAGAGUUAAACUCGGAUCUAUUAAAGACACAGACCUAACCUCCAGGUGGAGGUACAGUCCACGGAUAGACCCUCUCCUGGACAUUCAAAUGAGCCGAAAGCAAUAGUUCAUAACCGUGUGGCCAACGGAGUUCGAACCAAGGUUCGCCGUAGAACAAAGAUAGAUACAAGACAAAGAAAUUUUACAGACCUAUAUAUGCAUGUUCGAUUUCAUCAAUUUUUGUACUCUUUUUUUCUGAUCGACACUAGAUGUAGAUCAAAAGUGAAGUUGGAACGGUUUAGUAGAGAGAUGAUAAAGAUGAAUUAAUCUUUAAUUUCUUAUGUGAGAAAUGUAUAAAUGAAAAACAAAAUUGUUCUCUAUAUAUAAACAGGAUAUCAAAGGUUAUUGUAUCCAAACAAAUCUACAAAUUUUUAAAAAAGUUUAUGUCAAAAAAUCCAAAAAUUCCUUAAAUUGCAAAUAAAAAUAAAAAUAUUUAUUUGUACGGUUUAAACGAGAAAAACAAUAUAAAAAUAUGCAAGAACAAUAUGAAUAGAAUUAAAACGACAUGGUAUAAAUGGACAAAUUGGGGUGUACAAAAGUCGGAGAUGCCAUAGCCACUACACUACAUUAUUGCUUCGAAUGGACAAAUUGGAGUGUCCGCUUGUUAUCUGGAUAAACAACUUGAUUUUUCAUUUCUUAAUGCAAAUCAUUGUUAUCUGGAUAAACAACUUAUUUCUUCAAGAAAUUUCCAUGAAAAUAUAUUUAUGCCGUGCGAAGCAUUUUAAAGACCUAACACAACAAAUGUUUUCUUAAAAGUUAACAUUAAUAAUUUAAAUUUAGUUUAAAAAUAUUUAAUCAUAAGUAAAAUUUAAAUGAUAAUCUUAUUUUACAUAAUUGCUAUUUUAUUAAUUUAAUAAAAAGAAAACUGUGGUAUAAAAAGCAAAGAUUAAAGCAUAUCUUAAAAAUAAUUAUUAAAUUUUGAGUUAUAACAUAAUAAACUAGGUUAAGACCCGCGCCUUGCGCAUGAUCAACAUUAUAUAUAAAAAUUAUUUUAUGUAUUAAAUAUUUUUACAUAUUAUGAAAUAAUAAAUAUAUAUUAAAUAAUUAAAAGUUAGUAACUAUUAAAUAUAUAAUUAAAUUGGUGCGAACAUAUAAAUCAAUUUUGUUGAUCUAAAAAAUAUUUUUUUUAUAUUUGAUAGGAUAUGUUAUUAAAUUUAAAUGAUACUAACAUAGAUAAUAUAUUUUAGUAUAUUUUUAAUAUUAAUGUCUAUUAAAUGAUUUAAAAUUAAACAAAUAUGAUAGAAGAUACACUAUUUUUAUCAAAUCUUUAGUAUUCAAAAUCAUUAAUUGCCAUAUAUACUUUAGCCACAUUAAGCAAUUCCGUAAAUUUUAUUUAAAGAAAUAGUAAGGUACAUUAAUGAUGAAUUUAUUGUUAGUUAAAUAAAAAGCUUAUUAUAUAAUUAGAUGGACCAAUAUAUUUCUCUGUAUAUUUUAAUUUAAAACGAUAUAUAUAUUAAUCUUAAUAAUUAAUUAAAUUAGACUUUUUACUUAUAUAAUUUUUGUAAUCAUUUGUAUUUUGUCAUAAUAAAAAUUUUAAACCAUGGAUCAUAAAAUUUGAAUGUGAGACUUUUAACAGUUUUAGUAAUUUAUAGCCGUUUGUAAAAAUUCAAAAUAUAAGAUAUACAUAAAAAUCUAAAUUUUUAUUAUAUGGUUAUUGUGGUUGUUUAAUUUAUUUAAUAGUUUAAAAUUAAACAAAUAUGAUAGAAGAUACACUAUUUUUAUCAAAUCUUUAGUAUUCAAAAUCAUUAAUUGCCAUAUAUACUUUAGCCACAUUAAGCAAUUCCGUAAAUUUUAUUUAAAGAAAUAGUAAGGUACAUUAAUGAUGAAUUUAUUGUUAGUUAAAUAAAAAGCUUAUUAUAUAAUUAGAUGGACCAAUAUAUUUCUCUAAUGAUUCUAAAAAUCAUUUUAGUGAUGACAUGUGGCUGCAAAAAAAAAGUUAUAAUGCUUCUCAAAUAAUAUAUAGGGGAUUAGUUAAGAGUACUUACUAUAACUAAAAUGAAGACUGAACUUAUGUUAAAACCUUAUUAUGUGAGAUUUAUAGUGGUUAAUUAUAUAAUUACUACAACUAGGGGCUCCUAAAAGUUUAAAUUACGUUCGGGCCUAAGACCAAUGCAUUUUUAAACAUGCCAUAGGCACAGCUCUGAUUAUAUAAUCACACGAGAUUUUGAUCGGAACAAUCAUAAGAGAUUGAAGUACUAGAUCUUGGAAUUUGCGUGAAGACAUUUACCAGCUUCAAAUUUCAGCUCUAAACAUUUUACUUUGUUUAGGAAAUAUAUAAAACCCCCACUUAGAAAGAGAUGAUUUGAUAUUUUUUAGUUUUACAUUCGGUAAAUUGAUAUUAAGACAACAAUCUUGCGUAAAAGACCAAAAACAUACAUUUAUUUUGGUAAUUGUAUUUAGACUUUUUUAAAUCAUUGAUGUUCAAAAUUAUCUAGACCAAAAUAAUAUACUUCUAUUCUAUAUGAUACUUUGUUGUGAAAAAUAGAAAUAGAUUGUUAACCUAAACAAUAGUGUUUGAUAAUUCUAGAAAGAGUCUUCUGUUGAAGGAUUCUAAUAAGGAGAGUUGUUAUAGAGAAGACCUCUUGUGGUGUAUUGUAAAAUAGAUGGAUAAGACUUCAGAGUCUAAAAUGAGAAAAUGUAGUUAAUAUAUUAUUUAAGAUUAUAUAUUUUUAUAAUAUUCAUACUAUUUUGAACAACCCAACCACUACGAAAAUAAGAGAGAGAGAAGUCUGACUUGGAAGCAGAGCAAGGUUUUCUUCUUCGAUCAGAGUAAGAGAAGCAAGAUGUCAGCUCCGAUGAUCCUGAACGAUGCGACGAGGAGGGAUGCUAGAAGGGCGCACGCUGCAAUGACCUUGUGUCAGCUAAUUUACGGAGCUUACCAUGUGAGUGCGAAAGUAGCUCUUAACGUUGGAAUCAAUCAGCUCGUCUUCUGUGUCUUCCGCGAUCUUAUUGCUCUCUCCAUCCUCGCUCCUCUUGCUUUUUUCCGCGAAAGGUUUCAUCUAUCAAGUUUCAUUUUAUUUGGUCAGUGAAUUUCUUGAUUUAUUUAAAAAAAAAAAGAAAAGAAUUUCUUAAUUUAUUUGUGGGUUUAUAUCAAGAAGUCUCAAUAAUAGCUCCAUCUUUUCUGUUAUUGGAUAACUCCAGUAUCUUUGUUUUAUUCUGAUUAUACUGUUUGAUGAUUGGAUAAAACGUUAUGUUCUGUUUUUAACACAAAAAAAAAAAACAAUAACCAUAGUUGUUCUUUUGAUGGUUUUGUAGAGGGAUCAGACCUCCUAUGAGUAUAAGGGUUCUCUUUUCACUCUUCUUCCUAGGUUUAACAGGGUAAUGAACUAUAUCAUUUUUGAUUUGCCAUAAUCUUCUAGCAUCAUCUUUAUGCAGCUUCUCAAUCUCGAUAGGAUAUUUGGGACUCAAUUACUAUUUCUUAUUGGUUUAUCAUACACGAAUCCAACUUAUGCCGCUGCUAUACAACCAUCCAUCCCAGUCUUUACCUUUCUAUUAGCUGUGAUGAUGGGGUAAGUUUCAUUUUCUGUAACAUUACCAUAUACAUAUAUUUAAUCUUUGAGUUUCUUCCUUCAUUUGGAUGCAGUACAGAGAAAGUGAACUUGUUUAAAAUAGAGGGCCAAACGAAAGUUGGAGGCACUCUUGUUUGUGUUUCCGGUGCCUUAGUGAUGGUUUUGUUUCGUGGUCCAGCCUUGUUUGGAGAUAAACAUACAUACUUCACACCAAAAACUGUAAUUGUUAAUAGAAGUCAACCUGAGCUUCAUGGUUGGUUAGUCUCUAGCUUUGUUGGUCUUGGGCUUGAUCUAUGGCACAUUGGAGUUAUAUGUUUGAUUGGAAACUGCAUAUGUUUUGCUGCUUUUAUUGCUGUCCAAGC